GAUGAACGCUGGCGGCGUGCCUAAUACAUGCAAGUCGAGCGAACAGACGAGGAGCUUGCUCCUCUGACGUUAGCGGCGGACGGGUGAGUAACACGUGGAUAACCUACCUAUAAGACUGGGAUAACUUCGGGAAACCGGAGCUAAUACCGGAUAAUAUAUUGAACCGCAUGGUUCAAUAGUGAAAGACGGUUUUGCUGUCACUUAUAGAUGGUUCCGCGCCGCAUUAGCUAGUUGGUAAGGUAACGGCUUACCAAGGCAACGAUGCGUAGCCGACCUGAGAGGGUGAUCGGCCACACUGGAACUGAGACACGGUCCAGACUCCUACGGGAGGCAGCAGUGGGGAAUCUUCCGCAAUGGGCGAAAGCCUGACGGAGCAACGCCGCGUGAGUGAUGAAGGUCUUCGGAUCGUAAAACUCUGUUAUUAGGGAAGAACAAAUGUGUAAGUAACUAUGCACGUCUUGACGGUACCUAAUCAGAAAGCCACGGCUAACUACGUG
rnacentral:rRNA from 1 species